AACGGAAUGUGUGGCGGGUAACCAAAGCACAUUUAGUGGCGAACGGGUGAGGAAUAGAUAGGUAACGUACCCCGGACUCAGGUAUAGCGGCGUCCUUCGGGACUUUGCGAAAGUGCCGGUAAUACCUGAUAACAUCAACACCUCGCAUGGGGAGUUGAUCAAAGGUCCGCAGGUCUGGGAUCGGCCUACCUCCUAUCAGCUUGUUGGUGGGGUAACGGCCCACCAAGGCAACGACAGGUACCAGGCGUGAGAGCGUGAUCUGGCACAUCGGGACUGAGACACUGCCCGGACAUCUACGGAUGGCUGCAGCAACGAAUAUUCCGCAAUGGGCGAAAGCCUGACGGAGCGACGCCGCGUGCAGGACGAAGCACCUCGGUGUGUAAACUGCUGUCAGGGAUUAGGAAGAAUGUGACCAAUCCCAAAGGAAGCCUCGGCUAACUCCGUGCCAGCAGCCGCGGUAAUACGGAGGAGGCAAGCGUUGUUCGGAAUUACUGGGCUUAAAGCGUGCGUAGGCGGAAUGGAAGGUGUCAUAGUGAAAGCCCUCGGCUCAACCGAGGAAU
rnacentral:rRNA from 1 species